rnacentral:rRNA from 1 species
GUUUAAGCCGAACUUGCUGAAAAUUGGCCAAGUGUUAAGGAAGGCUGAGUCAAGUGCGGAACUUGACUGCCUCGCGGGUGUGACUUUUGACUGACCAAAAACGCCCCCGUGACACCUACCAUGGUUGUGACGGGUGACGGAGUAUUAGGGUUCGAUUCCGGAGAGGGAGCCUGAGAAACGGCUACCACAUAUAAGGAAGGCA